UACGUAGGGUGCGAGCGUUAAUCGGAAUUACUGGGCGUAAAGCGUGCGCAGGCGGUCUCGUAAGGCAGGUGUGAAAUCCCCGGGCUCAACCUGGGAACUGCGUUUGAAACUACAGGACUAGAGUAUGGCAGAGGGGGGUAGAAUUCCACGUGUAGCAGUGAAAUGCGUAGAGAUGUGGAGGAACACCGAUGGCGAAGGCAGCCCCCUGGGUCAAGAUUGACGCUCAUGCACGAAAGCGUGGGGAGCAAACAGG
rnacentral:rRNA from 1 species